rnacentral:rRNA from 1 species
CCCGUCACAUCACGAAAGUGGAUUGUACUAGAAGUCCGCACGCUGACCCGCAGGGGAGCAGCGGCCCAAGGUAUGAUUCAUGAUUGGGGUG